rnacentral:rRNA from 1 species
AGAGUUUGAUCCUGGCUCAGGAUGAACGCUAGCGAUAGGCUUAACACAUGCAAGUCGAGGGGCAUCACGAGGUAGCAAUACUUUGGUGGCGACCGGCGUACGGGUGCGUAACACGUAUGCAACCUUCCUGUAAGUGUGGGAUAGCCUCGGGAAACCGGGAUUAAUACCUCAUAACACCGUUUGUUCGCAUGGACGAACGGUCAAAGAUUUACCGGUAUGGGAUGGGCCUGCGUCUGAUUAGCUGGUUGGUGGGGUAACGGCCUACCAAGGCGACGAUCAGUAGCCGACCUGAGAGGGUGAUCGGCCACAUUGGAACUGAGACACGGUCCAAACUCCUACGGGAGGCAGCAGUGGGGAAUAUUGCACAAUGGGCGAAAGCCUGAUGCAGCAACGCCGCGUGAGCGAAGAAGGCCUUUGGGUUGUAAAGCUCUGUCGGGUAGGAAGAUAAUGACGGUACUACCCGAGGAAGCCCCGGCUAACUACGUGCCAGCAGCCGCGGUAAUACGUAGGGGGCGAGCGUUAUCCGGAAUUACUGGGUGUAAAGGGUGCGUAGGUGGCUGCUUAAGCGUGAGGUGAAAGGCAAUGGCUUAACCAUUGUGAGCCUCGCGAACUGGGUGGCUUGAGUGCAGGAGAGGAAAGCGGAAUUCCUAGUGUAGCGGUGAAAUGCGUAGAUAUUAGGAGGAACACCAGUGGCGAAGGCGGCUUUCUGGACUGCAACUGACACUGAGGCACGAAAGCGUGGGGAGCAAACAGGAUUAGAUACCCUGGUAGUCCACGCCGUAAACGAUGAGCACUAGGUGUCGGGGUCGCAAGACUUCGGUGCCGCAGUUAACGCAUUAAGUGCUCCGCCUGGGGAGUACGCACGCAAGUGUGAAACUCAAAUGAAUUUGACGG